UACGGGGGGGGCAAGCGUUGUUCGGAAUUACUGGGCGUAAAGGGCUCGUAGGCGGCCAACUAAGUCCGACGUGAAAUCCCCAGGCUUAACCUGGGAACUGCGUCGGAUACUGGAUGGCUUGAAUUCGGGAGAGGGAUGCAGAAUUCCAGGUGUAGCGGUGAAAUGCGUAGAUAUCUGGAGGAAUACCGGUGGCGAAGGCGGCAUCCUGGACCGACAUUGACGCUGAUGAGCGAAAGCUAGGGGAGCAAACGGGG
rnacentral:rRNA from 1 species